rnacentral:misc_RNA from 1 species
GAAAAAUAAAGAAAUGACGAAGCCAACCCAAGUAUUAGUUAGAUCCGUCAGUAUAUUAUUUUUCAUCACAUUACUACACCUAGUCGUAGCGCUGAACGAUGUGGCCGGUCCUGCGGAAACAGCACCAGUGUCAUUACUACCUCGUGAAGCGCCGUGGUAUGACAAGAUCUGGGAAGUAAAAGAUUGGCUAUUACAGCGUGCCACAGAUGGCAAUUGGGGCAAGUCGAUCACCUGGGGUUCAUUCGUAGCGAGCC